AUCAAGAAAAUCUAGGAAAUAUCACUGUUCCUUGUUUAUUUUGAAAGAUCCCCAAAGGGAGACCCUUACUCAAGUUUUGGGAAGUUGCAGACUCCAGAAACAGAGUAACCA
rnacentral:pre_miRNA from 14 species